AGUGAACGCUGGCGGCAGGCCUAACACAUGCAAGUCGAACGGCAGCACAGUAAGAGCGCGCCCUUACGGGUGGCGAGUGGCGGGCGGGUGAGGAAUACAUCGGAAUCUACUUUUACGUGGGGGAUAACGUAGGGAAACAUACGCUAAUACCGCAUAUGAUGUACGGGAGAAAGCAGGGGAUCUUCGGAGCUUUCGUGACAGAAAGAGACGAUGUCGGAUUAGCUAGUUGGCGUGGUAAAGGCACACCAAGGCGACGAUGCGUAGCCGAUCUGAGAGGAUGAUCAGCCACACUGGAACUGAGACACGGUCCAGACUCCUACGGGAGGCAGCAGUGGGGAAUAUUGCACAAAGGGCGCAAGCCUGAUCCAGCAAUGCCGCGUGAGUGAUGAAGGUCUUCGGAUUGUAAAGCCCUUUUAUUGGGGAAGAACAUCAGUGUAUGAAUACCCCGCUGUUCUGACGGUACCUAAACAGUAAGCCCCGGCUAACUUCGUG
rnacentral:rRNA from 1 species